GGAGGGUGCAAGCGUUAUCCGGAUUCACUGGGUUUAAAGGGUGCGUAGGCGGGCAGGUAAGUCCGUGGUGAAAUCUCUGAGCUUAACUCAGAAACUGCCAUGGAUACUAUUUGUCUUGAAUGUUGUGGAGGUAAGCGGAAUAUGUCAUGUAGCGGUGAAAUGCUUAGAUAUGACAUAGAACACCAAUUGCGAAGGCAGCUUACUACACAAAUAUUGACGCUGAGGCACGAAAGCGUGGGGAUCAAACAGGAUUAGAUACCCUGGUAGUCCACGCCCUAAACGAUGAUUACUCGACAUCAGCGAUACACUGUUGGUGUCUGAGCGAAAGCAUUAAGUAAUCCACCUGGGAAGUACGAUCGCAAGAUUG
rnacentral:rRNA from 1 species